rnacentral:ncRNA from 1 species
GGUUUGUAUGAAAAUCCUAGUAAAUUUUUUAUGAAUUUUAUAAAAAAAAAAGAAUAGAAAAUAAAAUUUAUUUAAUAAUUAAAUGUUAUUGAAAUUUAUUUAAAUAACUUAGCUAAUUUUGUGCCAGCAGCAGCGGUUAGACAAAAAAGAAUCUUUUAAUUAAAAAAGCUUUAAUGUAUAAUACUUAAAAUUUUAUUAAUUAAAAAAGGUGAAAUUUUUUAAUUAAAUGUCAAUUAUUUAAAGAAAAAAUUCAAAAAUUAAACUAGGAUUAGAUACCCUAUUAUAAGAAUAUUUUAUAUUGUUAGUAUGUAAAUAUUAUGAAAACAAAAAGCUAUGGCGGUGUUUUAAGCUUUUCAGAGGAAUUUGCUCUUUAAUGGAUAAUACACCAAAAUCUUACUAAAAUUUGUUAUUUUCCAGUUUGUAUACCACUAUUGAAGUAAUUAUUAAAAAUAAUUAUUUAAAUUUUUUUUAAAAAUUAAUUUAAGUCAUGGUGCAGCUAAAAUUUUAGAAUGAAGUGAAUUACAUUUCUUUAUAGAAAUUUAAAAUUUAAAACAAAAAUUAGGAUUUGAAAGUAAAAAUUCAAUAUAAUGGUUUUUUGAAUUUAGCUCUAAAACAUGUACAUAUCGCCCGUCGCUCUUUUUAUUUAAGAUAAGUCGUAACAAAGUUAAAAUACUGGAAAGUGUUUUA